rnacentral:rRNA from 1 species
AGACUGCGGAGGAUCAUUA